UUAUAGAGUUUUCUAAACUCCCAACCCAUGUGAACUUACCUUUUGUUGCCUCGGCAGAAGUUAUAGGUCUUCUUAUAGCUGCUGCCGGUGGACCAUUAAACUCUUGUUAUUUUAUGUAAUCUGAGCGUCUUAUUUUAAUAAGUCAAAACUUUCAACAACGGAUCUCUUGGUUCUGGCAUCGAUGAAGAACGCAGCGAAAUGCGAUAAGUAAUGUGAAUUGCAGAAUUCAGUGAAUCAUCGAAUCUUUGAACGCACAUUGCGCCCAUUAGUAUUCUAGUGGGCAUGCCUGUUCGAGCGUCAUUUCAACCCUUAAGCCUAGCUUAGUGUUGGGAAUCUACUUCUCUUAGGAGUUGUAGUUCCUGAAAUACAACGGCGGAUUUGUAGUAUCCUCUGAGCGUAGUAAUUUUUUUCUCGCUUUUGUUAGGUGCUAUAACUCCCAGCCGCUAAACCCCCAAUUUUUUGUGGUUGACCUCGGAUCAGGUAGGAAUACCCGCUGAACUUAAGCAUAUCAAUAAGCGGAGGAAAAGAAACCAACAGGGAUUGCCUUAGUAACGGCGAGUGAAGCGGCAACAGCUCAAAUUUGAAAUCUGGCCCUUGGGUCCGAAUUGUAAUUUGUAGAGGAUGAUUUUGGUGCGGUAUCUUCCGAGUUCCUUGGAACAGGACGCCUUAGAGGGUGAGAGCCCCGUACGGUUGAAUGCCUAGCCUCUGUAAAUCUCCUUCGACGAGUCGAGUAGUUUGGGAAUGCUGCUCUAAAUGGGAGGUAAAUUUCUUCUAAAGCUAAAUAUUGGCCAGAGACCGAUAGCGCACAAGUAGAGUGAUCGAAAGAUGAAAAGCACUUUGAAAAGAGGGUUAAAUAGCACGUGAAAUUGUUGAAAGGGAAGGAUUUGUGACCAGACUUUUUCUGGGCGGAUCAUCCGGGGUUCUCUCCGGUGCACUUCGCCCAGUAAAGGCCAGCAUCGGUUUUCGGCGUGGGAUAAAAGCAGUAGGAAUGUGGCUCUCUACGGGGAGUGUUAUAGCCUAUUGUAUAAUACCGCGCUGGGGACCGA
rnacentral:rRNA from 1 species